GACGUAGGGCGCGAGCGUUUGUCCGGAUUUAUUGGGCGUAAAGAGCUCGUAGGCGGCUUGUCGCGUCGAAUGUGAAAACUCGGGGCUCAACUCCGAGCUUGCAUUCGAUACGGGCAGGCUAGAGUUCGGUAGGGGAGACUGGAAUUCCUGGUGUAGCGGUGAAAUGCGCAGAUAUCAGGAGGAACACCGGUGGCGAAGGCGGGUCUCUGGGCAGUAACUGACGCUGAGGAGCGAAAGCGUGGGGAGCGAACAGG
rnacentral:rRNA from 1 species